GACGGAAGGUGCAAGCGUUGCUCGGAAUCACUGGGCGUAAAGGGUGCGUAGGCGGCUUGGUAAGUUGGGUGUGAAAGCCCCGGGCUCAGCCCGGGAAGGGCACUCGAAACUGCCGAGCUGGAGUGCCGGAGGGGAGAGUGGAAUUCCUGGUGUAGCGGUGAAAUGCGUAGAUAUCAGGAGGAAUACCGGUGGCGAAGGCGGCUCACUGGACCGGUACUGACGCUGAUGCGCGAAAGCGUGGGGAGCAAACGGG
rnacentral:rRNA from 1 species